rnacentral:rRNA from 1 species
UACAGAGGUCCCGAGCGUUAGACGGGAUCACUGGGCUUAAAGCGUGUGUAGGCGGAAGGGUAAGUACGUUGUGAAAUCCCAUAGCUCAACUAUGGAACUGCUUGGUAUACUGCUUUUCUUGAGCCACUUAGGGGCAACCGGAACAAAUGGUGGAGCGGUGAAAUGCGUAGAUAUCAUUUGGAACGCCAAUGGUGAAAACAGGUUGCUGGGAGUGUGCUGACGCUGAGACACGAAAGCCAGGGGAGCAAACGGG